rnacentral:rRNA from 1 species
CCCGCACAAGCGGUGGAGUAUGUGGUUUUAAUUCGACGCAACGCGCAGAACCUUUACCUAGACUUGACAUCCCGGGGAUUUUCUGGAAACAGAGAAGUGCUUUAGCAAUAAAGAACCCGGUGACAGGUGCUGCAUGGCUGUCGUCAGCUCGUGUCGUGAGAUGUUGGGUUAAGUCCCGCAACGAGCGCAACCCUCGCCUUUAGUUGCCAGCAUUCAGUUGGGCACUCUAGAGGGACUGCCGGUGUCAAACCGGAGGAAGGUGGGAUGACGUCAAGUCCUCAUGGCCUUUAUGUCUAGGGCUACACACGUACUACAAUGGCCGGUACAAAGGGCAGCCACUCAGCGAUGAGGCGCUAAUCCCAUAAAGCCGGUCUCAGUCCGGAUCGCAGGCUGCAACUGCCUGCAUGAAGUUGGAGUUGCUAGUAAACGCAGGUCAGCACACUGCGUUGAAUACGUUCUCGGGCCUU